GCGUGCGGGAUGAAGGCCUUCGGGUUGUAAACCGCUUUCAGCAGGGAAGAAGCGAAAGUGACGGUACUUGCAGAAGAAGCACCGGCUAACUAUGUGCCAGCAGCCGCGGUAAUACAUAGGGUGCAAGCGUUGUCCGGAAUUAUUGGGCGUAAAGAGCUCGUAGGUGGUUCGUCACGUCGGAUGUGAAAAUCUGGGGCUUAACCCCAGACCUGCAUUCGAUACGGGCGAGCUAGAGUGUGGUAGGGGAGACUGGAAUUCCUGGUGUAGCGGUGGAAUGCGCAGAUAUCAGGAGGAACACCAAUGGCGAAGGCAGGUCUCUGGGCCAUUACUGACACUGAGGAGCGAAAGCGUGGGGAGCGAACAGGAUUAGAUACCCUGGUAGUCCACGCCGUAAACGGUGGGCACUAGUUGUGGGAACCUUCCACGGUUUCUGCGACGC
rnacentral:rRNA from 1 species